rnacentral:lncRNA from 1 species
CUAUAAUACUAAUUUUACUCUCAAAUAUAAAUUUAUAUUAUUUAAAAUUUAUGAAAAAUAUAAUACUAUUCUCUAAUAAGUUUUCUAAAAAAAAUAUCAAAUUUAUUUUUAAAAACUUUUAUUGAUGUGGAUUAGGGAUAGGGUUUUGAGAGAUGAUAGAUUAUUUUUUUUUUUUGACAAGAAAGGGGUGAAGAAAAGGAGAGUGAGAUGGUCGCAUGGGCAUCCGGAAUGAAAUCUCAAUCCGAGCUUGAAGACCGGAAUCAAGUUGAAAGUUAAUGGGUCAUUCCCAUUCCAGUCCGGAAUAGGAAUCCCAAACCGAUUCAUGCGAACCAAACAAAAUUAACCGGAUUUGAUCAAACCGAUUUCCAUUCCAUACCCAAAAUGGAUGAACCAAACAAGCCCAUAGAGUGAAUGUGAAAGGAUGUGACUUUUAGUGAAAGAAUAUGAAAUGAAAAGACACAUCUUUAUAUUGUGUCUCUUCGAGCAUAUGCCCGUUGAAAUUAAUUUUUACAUUUAUUCUUGGCUCAUAUAACUAAUUGAUAGUUAUGAUCAAAUUAAAACUCACAAUUGAAAGGUCACUUCAUGAAAAUACCCGUUCAUGAAUAGUCACUUCAUGAAGCACCCGUUCGUGGUUUAUAUAAGUCCACAGCGUUGGUUGCAGAAUGAAGAAACAGUUAAAGAGUUUAAGCCUUCAUUCACAAUAAUUUCAUUCUUGUUUUCUUAUUCUGUUUGACAACUUAAUCGGGUGAGUGCUCAAAGGCUCGACUUCGUGUGUGCAAACGCAGUUGAGGUUUACGCUUCAUUGUAUCUUGGGAGACUGUUCGUUGACCCGGUGCACACCAAAUUGAUUGAACGGUGGGGACGGAUUAAGCCUUAAGAAAAGUGACAUUGCUACACACCUUGAAGCCCUUUUUAUCUUCCUAUUUUAUACCUUUUUCACUAUCUGCUCUAACACUUUCGGACAUCUAAAUCUUC